AACGAACGCUGGCGGCAGGCCUAACACAUGCAAGUCGAGCGAGAUCUUCGGGUCUAGCGGCGGACGGGUGAGUAACGCGUGGGAAUAUGCCUCUUGGUACGGGAUAGCCUCGUGAAACUGGGGGUAAUACCGGAUGAGUCCUUCUGGGGGAAGAUUUAUCGCCAAGGGAUUAGCCCGCGUUGGUUUAGGUAGUUGGUGGGGUAAUGGCCUACCAAGCCUGCGAUCCAUAGCUGGGUUGAGAGGAUGAUCAGCAACACUGGGACUGAGAGACGGCCCAGACUCCUACGGGUGGCCGCAGUGGGGAACCAUCGACACCGGGGGCAACCAUGAUCUAGUCAGGUCGUGUGAGUGUUGAAGGGCGUAGGGUAGUAAAGCUCUUUCAGCUGGGAAGAUAAUGCGGGUACCAGAAGAAGAAGCCCCGGCUAAUUCCGG
rnacentral:rRNA from 1 species